ACAGUUGUGUCAAUUCAUGAUUGGCUGUAAGAGAACUCGACAGAGUAUAAAUGAAAGGGGAAAUUAAAGGGGAUAUCCUGUCUCCUGCACAGACACUUCACAUCAGCUGACACCAGUUUACAACAUCACCGACGCUGCCUGAACCGCCACAGAUUUGAUUUGGAGUCGUCAUCCAAAGCAAAAAAGUAGCCAGCUGAGGAGUCCGGGGUCCUGACUCAAAACAACACAGUAAGGUAAAUUAGCUUAUUUGUUUAAUCCACACACUAGACUAGUAAUUUAGCAUGUAUACUGCCUUAAUGUUACCGAUAACCUGUAACGCUAGCUAACCAUUUGACAUAUUUAUAUCCAAACAAUGAUCAGGUAUGUAGCGAUUACUUUUAAUCGUUACAUACCUGAAGUGGAUUGGGCAACAAGAAAUUACCUACGAGCUAACGGCACUUAAUAGAUAUUUAGAAAGACUGCUUGUGUUUCUGCCCUGACAUGCAAAAGACUUGUUGCACUUUCAGAAACAAGCAUUGUCCACAGCAACUCUAGUGAAGUGUAACCAGACUUUUGAGGGCCAUUAACCCUUAGGGGUUCCUUAA